AUUGAACGCUGGCGGCAGGCCUAACACAUGCAAGUCGAGCGGAUGAAGGGAGCUUGCUCCUGGAUUCAGCGGCGGACGGGUGAGUAAUGCCUAGGAAUCUGCCUGGUAGUGGGGGAUAACGUCCGGAAACGGGCGCUAAUACCGCAUACGUCCUGAGGGAGAAAGUGGGGGAUCUUCGGACCUCACGCUAUCAGAUGAGCCUAGGUCGGAUUAGCUAGUUGGUGGGGUAAAGGCCUACCAAGGCGACGAUCCGUAACUGGUCUGAGAGGAUGAUCAGUCACACUGGAACUGAGACACGGUCCAGACUCCUACGGGAGGCAGCAGUGGGGAAUAUUGGACAAUGGGCGAAAGCCUGAUCCAGCCAUGCCGCGUGUGUGAAGAAGGUCUUCGGAUUGUAAAGCACCUUAAGUUGGGAGGAAGGGCGGUAAGUUAAUACCUUGCUGUUUUGACGUUACCAACAGAAUAAGCACCGGCUAACUUCGUG
rnacentral:rRNA from 1 species